CUGCUACCAAGUAAGUCAACCAGCUCCUUCCUCAUGGGGGCCUUAUGUGCAAUGGCUGUGAACAGUAGCCUCGUGGGAGCAUAUUCAACCUGUUGCCUACAGGGGUUGCCCUAUGGGACCUCAGAGACAGUU